GGCUCGUUGGUCUAGGGCUAUGAUUCUCGCUCAGGGUGCAAGAGGUCCCGGGUUUAAAUCCCAGACGAUCCC
rnacentral:tRNA from 1 species